UACGAAGGGGGCUAGCGUUGCUCGGAAUUACUGGGCGUAAAGGGCGCGUAGGCGGACAGUUUAGUCAGAGGUGAAAGCCCAGGGCUCAACCCUGGAAUUGCCUUUGAUACUGGCUGUCUUGAGUACGGGAGAGGUGUGUGGAACUCCCAGUGUAGAGGUGAAAUUCGUAGAUAUUCGCAAGAACACCUGUGGCGAAAGCGGCUCACUGGACCAUUACUGACGCUGAUGCACGAAAGCUAGGGGAGCAAACAGG
rnacentral:rRNA from 1 species